AACGAACGCUGGCGGCAUGCCUAACACAUGCAAGUCGAACGAGACCUUCGGGUCUAGUGGCGCACGGGUGCGUAACGCGUGGGAACCUGCCCUUAGGUUCGGAAUAACUCCCCGAAAGGGGUGCUAAUACCGGAUAAUGUCUUCGGACCAAAGAUUUAUCGCCUUUGGAUGGGCCCGCGUUGGAUUAGCUAGUUGGUAGGGUAAAAGCCUACCAAGGCGACGAUCCAUAGCUGGUCUGAGAGGAUGAUCAGCCACACUGGGACUGAGACACGGCCCAGACUCCUACGGGAGGAAGCAGUGGGGAAUAUUGGACAAUGGGCGAAAGCCUGAUCCAGCAAUGCCGCGUGAGUGAUGAAGGCCUUAGGGUUGUAAAGCUCUUUUACCCGGGAUGAUAAUGACAGUACCGGGAGAAUAAGCUCCGGCUAACUCCGU
rnacentral:rRNA from 1 species